rnacentral:rRNA from 1 species
AUGACCCUUUCCUCUUCAAGGGAAAACCAACGCAGUGCUCAAGAGAUAGCAAGAGGGAUUUCUGUCGCCGUUGCCGGGGAGGUCUAUGCUCAAGUUAAGACAUACCAAGUACCCAUCACAAACUCUUCUCCCUCGCAUUACAUUAUUUGCCAUUUGCCUUUCAUUUUCCUCUCGCCCACCUCACCCUUGCCGUUUUAUUCGCUCUCUCUUUCCCGUUUGCCUUCCUUCGCCAUGGCCGAAUCGAAAAGAGCUAAGGGUUCUCCCCUGGGUUUUACUCUGGAUAGUCCCUCUGUCCUCUCUAAGCUCAUACUUAAUGAUGCUAUGGAAAGACCUACCGGGGUUAUCAAUGAUAGUUUGAAUAAUUUUAAUGAAGAUGAUUCUGGAAUUUUUCGUUAUUUACUUGAUGAGUCUUUAAAAGAUGCUUGGGGUAGGUUAUUAAGGAUCCGAGCUAGCUAA